rnacentral:miRNA from 1 species
CAAACUCAUCGUCAGCCUUCUC